ensembl:lncRNA
AUGGCUGCUCCAGUGUAUCUGGGUGAGGGUUCGCAGGUUCGUGGUGGAGAUCCAUACUUCACAGAGAUCAUCAGCAAGAGGAUGCGAGUACCAGAUCGCCUGAGUGUCGGCCAUGGAAUCCUGGCUGAGGAACAGAGGCCUGAGGAUCUACUUCCUGUCUACAGCAUGCAUGUACCAGACAGACUGGCCUUAACAGAUGCUCCUGACCUCAGUCCACGGCCACUGUUCUCCAAGCAAAGUGCCUCGUCAAUGUGGGAUCUGCAGCGUGGAACGUGGGGUAAGGAGGCAUACACGCGAGAGCCCGUUCAGAGUCCGCUACGCAGAUCGUAUAGUGACCAGACAUUCGGUAGAACCCCACCUGGAACCCCCACACACUCCAAACAAGCACUACAUUCUCCUUCUAUUAGCCGCUGUGCUGGAAGAGCGCCCCCUGUAGACCCAGAUAUGCCCCUGCCUGAUCCCCUGCAGUUCCCCAACAGCCCACCCAGCCUACUGUGCCCACAGAGCAUGCUCCAGGCGGCCAGGCAGCUGGGCCAGCAGGCAUCAAAGAAAAUCCUCCAGACUGUCUCUCAAAAAUACUCUUCCAGGUUCGGUUUCCAAGAAAACCCUCCACCUCAGCCAGAGAUCCACACUGAUCAGACCAGGAAAAGCACUGUGCAGGAGUCCUGGCUCAGUCCUGAAGAAGAGACGGGAACUGCAGUUGAGUUCAUCGUGCUUCGCAGACAGGUGGUGAAGAUGAGCAGGAGGAUAGCGGGGCUGGAGAGACAGAACGCUGAACGCAGGCAGAACGAACUGGUGCUUUUCUCUCUGCUGCUGUCUGCCUGUCUGCUUAAUGGUUGGCUGUGGAUGCGGAGAUAA